rnacentral:tRNA from 1 species
GGAAGCGUGGCAGAGCGGUUGAAUGCACCGGUCUUGAAAACCGGCGAUGGCGCAAGUCAUCCGUGAGUUCGAAUCUCACCGCUUCCG